CAUGAUUAGAUUAGAUUAGUUUAUCUAGGAUUGUUUAGAGGGUAGCCGCAGUCGCCCCAACUCUGACUUGCAAAGCAUUUUUUUGUUUUGUAAGUAGGGCGAGAAACAACAAGCAUUUUGUUGGAAACUUUAAUUUUUUAAUAAAUUAGAGAACUGU
rnacentral:sRNA from 12 species